rnacentral:sRNA from 1 species
UGUGCUGGAAAUGCAACAUUCUGAGAUAAAGAGGAACUGGUUGGGCUUCAUUUCUGUCCCUCCCACCACAGAAUGACCUACAAUGCUUUAGCCCAAAAUCCCCUUGCUAUAUUCCCAUUGUGAGCAGUGCCACCCUGUGGGAUAGAAGCACACCCAGUGCAAAGCCUCUAGUAUUCAUCAUUCUGGAAUGCAAACAAAUUUGACUCAACAAUUUCCACCAAGGUCCUGAGCCCCACUUGCCUCAAAACCAGUAGACCUGGUCUGGAUGCACUCUCCCAAGAAACUCGCCAACUAAUGACCAAGGAUCUAAAAUAAUGGUGUCCAAAUUUUAAUUGCAAAUGUCUAGCAAUGAUAAAAAAUUUAGUGCCCAUAUCUCACAUACUUAUAUUUAGACAGAUAUGUACUACUCCAUUCAUUAAAAUGUUAGAAACUAU